rnacentral:lncRNA from 1 species
GCGUCCGCUAGAUGGCGCUGCUCCGUGCAUCCCGAUAGGCCCCGCCUGCCGCUGGGCGGGCGCCGGAAGGAUGGGGAAGGACCGGGAAGGACCGGAAGGCCCUGGGGUCGCGGGUUCAGGCCGUAGCGCCGCCUCUGGGGCUGAUUCGGGCCCGCCCUGCGGCUGCGUUCGGCCCUUGGGAACUGGAGCCACUUUUCAGCUGCCGCUGGCUCCCAUCUCAGCGCUUUUGCACCGAGAGUCGGUGUUUUUGCACGCUUCUCCCAGGUCAUCCAAUCAAAAGCCUCUGCUCCACCGGGCCAACCCACAGAGGUGAGUACAGAAUAUACAACCUCUGCCCAACCAUCUUAAUCCUUCCCCAAUACUUAUGUGCCAGACCUUGGGCUGAACAGUGCUGGGUAGAUGCGGCAGAUAGAACAGUGUCAUUCGGGCCUGCUUGGGACUCACUUACAGUCUACUGGGGAGAUGAGUAAACCAUGAGGACAAGAUGUGACAAGUACCAU